rnacentral:rRNA from 1 species
UACGGGGGGGGCAAGCGUUGUUCGGAAUUACUGGGCGUAAAGGGCUCGUAGGCGGCCAACUAAGUCAGACGUGAAAUCCCUCGGCUUAACCGGGGAACUGCGUCUGAUACUGGAUGGCUUGAGUUCGGGAGAGGGAUGCGGAAUUCCAGGUGUAGCGGUGAAAUGCGUAGAUAUCUGGAGGAACACCGGUGGCGAAGGCGGCAGCCUGGACCGAUACUGACGCUGAGGAGCGAAAGCCAGGGGAGCAAACGGG